UACGGAGGGGGGCUAGCGUUGUUCGGAAUUACUGGGCGUAAAGCGCACGUAGGCGGCUUUGUAAGUUAGAGGUGAAAGCCCAGGGCUUAACCCUGGAAUUGCCUUUAAGACUGCAUCGCUAGAAUCGUGGAGAGGUGAGUGGAAUUCCGAGUGUAGAGGUGAAAUUCGUAGAUAUUCGGAAGAACACCAGUGGCGAAGGCGACUUACUGGACUGUAACUGACACUGAGGCAUGGAAAGCGUGGGGAGCAAACACGG
rnacentral:rRNA from 1 species